rnacentral:tRNA from 1 species
GGGCCUUUAGCUCAGCUGGCUAGAGCAACCGGCUCAUAACCGGUCGGUCCGGGGUUCGAGGUCCCUGAAGGCCCA